rnacentral:rRNA from 1 species
GACGAACGCUGGCGGCGUGCCUAAUACAUGCAAGUAGAACGCUGAAGGAGGAGCUUGCUUCUCCGGAUGAGUUGCGAACGGGUGAGUAACGCGUAGGUAACCUGCCUGGUAGCGGGGGAUAACUAUUGGAAACGAUAGCUAAUACCGCAUAACAGUAGAUAUUGCAUGAUAUCUGCUUGAAAGGUGCAAUUGCAUCACUACCAGAUGGACCUGCGUUGUAUUAGCUAGUUGGUGAGGUAACGGCUCACCAAGGCGACGAUACAUAGCCGACCUGAGAGGGUGAUCGGCCACACUGGGACUGAGACACGGCCCAGACUCCUACGGGAGGCAGCAGUAGGGAAUCUUCGGCAAUGGACGGAAGUCUGACCGAGCAACGCCUCGUGAGUGAAGAAGGUUUUCGGAUCGUAAAGCUCUGUUGUAAGAGAAGAACGAGUGUGAGAGUGGAAAGUUCACACUGUGACGUUAUCUUACCAGAAAGGGACGGCUAACUACGUGCCAGCAGCCGCGGUAAUACGUAGGUCCCGAGCGUUGUCCGGAUUUAUUGGGCGUAAAGCGAGCGCAUGCGUGUUAGAUAAGUCUGAAGUUAAGGCUGUGGCUGAACUAUAGUACGCUUUGGAAAUUGUUUAACUUGAGUGCAAGAGGUGAGAGUGGAAUUCCAUGUGGUGCGGUGAAUUGCUUAGAUUAUGGAGGAAACCGGUGUCUAAUCUGGUCUCUGGUGUGUAUUAUACGCUUAUGUUUGAAUGAGUGGGGUAGUAUCAGGAUUAUUUACUCUGGUUAUCCCAUGUCUAUUUCUGCAUGUGUGUGUCUGGGUAUGUUCCCUGCGUGCGCUGGGGGGUGACAGAGUGUCUCAUAUUGUGUGCGUGUUUUGUGCUUGUAUUUAAUCCUUACUUUCCUCCUCUUGUGUUGUUUUUGUGUGUGCCCUGUGAUGUUUGUGUUGCUGCCCUGCUCUGCCCUCCCCCCCCUCCCCCUGUGUGUCUUCUGUUGUGCUUGUUAUAUCUGAUGAUGCUGUGGUGUGUUAGCUUAUGCCUGUGGCCCCUGCUGUGUGUGCUGCUGUGCUGCUAUUUUACUGUUAUAUGCUUGUUGCCCCAUGCUGUAGUAUUUUAGUUCUGUA